UACGUAGGGGGCUAGCGUUGUCCGGAUUUAUUGGGCGUAAAGAGCGUGUAGGCGGCCAGGUAGGUCUGCUGUGAAAACUCGAGGCUCAACCUCGAGACGUCGGCGGAAACCAUCUGGCUAGAGUCCGGAAGAGGAGAGUGGAAUUCCUGGUGUAGCGGUGAAAUGCGCAGAUAUCAAGAGGAACACCAAUUGCGAAGGCAGCUCGCUGGGACGUUACUGACGCUGAGACGCGAAAGCGUGGGGAGCAAACAGG
rnacentral:rRNA from 1 species